rnacentral:hammerhead_ribozyme from 1 species
AUCCAAUUGACGAGUUCCAAAUAGGACGAAAUGUUUAUGCUGGAU